GUGCCCGUAGCUCAGUCGGUAGAGCAUCUGACUUUUAAUCAGAGGGUCACAGGUUCGAAUCCUGUCGGGCACACCA
rnacentral:tRNA from 1 species